rnacentral:rRNA from 1 species
UACGUAGGGUGCGAGCGUUGUCCGGAAUUAUUGGGCGUAAAGAGCUCGUAGGCGGUUUGUCGCGUCUGCCGGUAGAAAGGUCCGGGGCUCAACUCCGGAUCUGCGGUGGGGUACGGGCAGACUAGAGUGAUGUAGGGGAGACUGGAAUUCUCGGUGUAGCGGUGAAAUGCGUAGAUAUCGAGAGGAACACCUGCGGCGAAGGCGGGUUGCUGGGCUGAUACUGACGCUGAGGCGCGAAAGCCAGGGGAGCGAACGGG